rnacentral:rRNA from 1 species
UGGGGAAUAUUGGACAAUGGGCGCAAGCCUGAUCCAGCCAUGCCGCGUGAGUGAUGAAGGUCUUCGGAUUGUAAAACUCUUUCGCCGGGGAAGAUAAUGACGGUACCCGGAGAAGAAGCUCCGGCUAACUUCGUGCCAGCAGCCGCGGUAAUACGAAGGGAGCUAGCGUUGUUCGGAAUUACUGGGCGUAAAGGGCUCGUAGGCGGCCAACUAAGUCAGACGUGAAAUCCCUCGGCUUAACCGGGGAACUGCGUCUGAUACUGGAUGGCUUGAGGUUGGGAGAGGGAUGCGGAAUUCCAGGUGUAGCGGUGAAAUGCGUAGAUAUCUGGAGGAACACCCGUGGCGAAGGCGGAUCUCUGGACCGGUUCUGACGCUGAGGAGCGAAAGCUAGGGGAGCAAACAGGAUUAGAUACCCUAGUAGUCCCUGAGCGGGCUGGCAAGGCGCAU